UACGUAGGCAGCGAGCGUUGUUCGGAGUUACUGGGCGUAAAGAGUGCGUAGGCGGUUGGCUAGGUUUGGUGUGAAAUCUCCCGGCUCAACUGGGAGGGUGCGCCGAAAACUGGCUGGCUGGAGUGUGGGAGAGGCUAGCGGAAUUCCUGGUGUAGCGGUGAAAUGCGCAGAUAUCAGGAGGAACACCGAUGGCGAAGGCAGCUCGCUGGGACGGUACUGACGCUGAGGCGCGAAAGCUAGGGGAGCAAACGGG
rnacentral:rRNA from 1 species